rnacentral:rRNA from 1 species
UACGGGGGGAGCAAGCGUUGUUCGGAUUUACUGGGCGUAAAGGGCGCGUAGGCGGCCACCGCAAGUCGACUGUGAAAUCUCCGGGCUUAACUCGGAAAGGUCAGCCGAUACUGCGGGGCUAGAGUGCAGAAGGGGCAACUGGAAUUCUUGGUGUAGCGGUGAAAUGCGUAGAUAUCAAGAGGAACACCUGCGGCGAAGGCGGGUUGCUGGGCCGACACUGACGCUGAUGCGCGAAAGCUAGGGGAGCGAACGGG